CAUCUCUGUAUUAGGUAGGUCAGCUAUGUCUCCUGAUCUUGGAUAGGUAGCCAUAUGUACGAGAUGCCUUAUGAGGCCCCGCAGUGUGCUUUCCUCUCAUCACCAGUCCCAAAUGUUCAAGGAGUGUCCCCCCCAUGUGAGUCCUUCUCUCAUAGCAGGGUUUCUCUUGCCGCAGGUGCCCAGGUCGGCGGCUAGGCUGGUUGUAAUGCUCAGCUGCGUGUAGCUGCUAUGGUCCUUUCAGUCACUUUAUCGUACACGGGGACCCCAGCAGAGGAUUUAAAAAGACAUUUACUAACUCCACAAAGGCCACCCACUGAAACCCCCAGCAGACUUGAUUACAGGAGGCAUUUUAGAACCAUUCCUAGGUUAAGAAUGCCUGGUAUCAGUGCUAUUUAACAAUUUACUAUGGGAGGCCCUGGACCAUAUGCUAAAUCGGAAAAAUUAAAAAAGAGAAAUAUGAUUGGAAGAAGAAAAAUAAAGUUACAGAAAAUGUCACACUGAAAACGCAAAGGAAUCAAUGACGAGUUUAGCAUGGCGUCCAACAUAAAGGAAACAGGGAGAAAUAAAGGUUAAAUACGGGAUUGACUGAACGGAGGAGACAGACCAUCUCAUGGAUCGGCAGGCAUAUAGUGAUGUAUGGAGAAUCACCGUAAAGGCUCCAGGAACCUGGACAGUGAGGAAGACAAGCUAUUGAUGACACCUGGCAGCUUUAGUCCCCAUCGCCAGCCUUUCCUUUGUGACGGCUAAAGUCCGCGCUUGGCCUCCUCCGGCCCCGCGUAUGGCCACCGCCCCUCCGCCCGUGGCCCCGCCCACAGGCCGGCCUCCGUCCUCCACGUGGGCCGGGGGCCUGUUUCCGCCCCCAGCCCCGCGCCGAGCGACCCCAGGGCCCAUAGGGACCCACGCGGGAAGAACUAAGAGUUCGCUGCCGGAAAUGGACGGACGUGAUCGACAGCCCGAGCUCUGGAGACCCGCCCCUUACGGCCCGAGGCAGGAAGCGGAAGUGGCGUCACCAGUUCCCUUAGUCCCUUUGUCCCGUGAUUCCACGUCUCUUAGAUCCAUUCACGUCGGUAUUUUUGCGGUGUCGCCGUCCUCGCUGAGGCCAGUGAAGGGAGGGCCCUGGGCGCACGGAGGGCGUUAAAGGACAGGUGCGGCCCGGGACCCGAGGGGCUCCGUAGAGAGGCCGGGCCUCCGCUCGUCCGCCCGGCCGCUGGGCCCCGCGCUGAGCCGGAGCGGGAAGGGCGCCUCGCGGGGCGUUGGCGUCCCCUGCGCUUCCCUGGUCAGAGCCUCCGAAUCACCUUCGAGACUUUUCCCCAGAAGGAGAAGCAGCUCCGCUGUGCGAGUCCCGUUGCUCAGGCCCCGCGCCCUCCGGUCCUCAGGACCUGCGACCCCGCCGUGUGCCUGUCAUGUUUCUGCCUUCCUGAGGAAGACAGAAGCAGAAAGGAUGGUGACUGACUGUUUGACUAGUUGUUCUCAGGACUCACUCACCUUCGCUGAUGUGGCUGUGGACUUCACCCAAGAGGAGUGGACUUUACUAGAGCCAACUCAAAAAAAUCUCUACAGAGACGUGAUGCUGGAGACCUACAAGAACCUGAGCACAGUAGAGUAUCAGUUGUUCAAACCCAGUUUGAUCUCUUGGUUGGAAGAAGAAGAGUUGAGGGCAGUGGAGGGAGGAGUUUUCCAAGAAUGGGAAAUGCAGCCUAAAAGCAAAGACUCAGCAAUUCCACAGCAUAUUUUGGGGGAAAAUACAUCCAAUAGGAUAGAAAUGGAAAGAAUCCACAAUGGGUGGGAACUCUGUGAUUGUGAGCAAUGUGGGAAAGUCUUCAGUGAACAUUCAUGUCUUAAGACACACAGGAGAACUCCAAAUGGAGGCAACACUCGUGAGGAUAAUCAGUUUGGAAAAAGCUUCCUUACUCUACACAAGAAAACCUCACCUGGAGAGAAAAUUUCCGUGUUUAAUCUGUGGGGUAAAGCCAUCAGCCCGACUCCAGAUGUUGUGUACUAUAAAACUAACAUGGAAGAGAAAGCCUCCAAAUGCAGUGACAGUGGGAAAGCCUUUGUUAAUCAGUCUUGUUUUCAGGCACCAAUGAGAACUCACAAUGGAGAAAAUCUUUCUGAAUGGAAGGAAGAUGGGAGAGCUUUUAUUCAGUCCACAAGCCUUGGUGUGCAUGUACAAACUCACACUACUGUUAACAAUUGUUAUAAAUAUAAGGAAUGUGGAAAAUCCUUUAUACAGUCCACAUAUCUUAACACUAGUGGUAAAAUUCACUCUAGAAUAAAACCAUUUAAAUGUAAGGAAUGUGGGAAAGACUUUUUUCAGUCUUUUCAUCUUACUGACCAUGUGAAAUCACACACUGAAGUGAAGCCCUUUCUUGAUGAGGUAUAUGGAAAUGCCUUUAGAAGUUACUCGUAUCUUUAUGUUCCCAAUCAAAUUUAUGCUGGAGUGGAACCGUAUAAAUGUAAGAAGUGUAGAAAAGUCUUUAAACAUUCUUUGUACGUUAAUGUUCACAUGGAAAGUCACACUGAAGAAGAACCUUAUGAAUGUGAAGAAUAUGGGAAAACCUUUGCUCAGUUCUCAGGCCUUACUGAACAUAUAAAAACUGAGGCUGGAGAGAAGACUUUUCAAUGUGACAAAUGUGGGAAAGCCUUUGCUACCUCCUCAAAUCUUACUAAACAUUUAGGAUCUCACGCUGUAGAAAAGCUGUUUGAGUGUAACAUAUGUGGGAAACGAUUUACCAGUUCUUCGUACUUAAUUAUUCAUAAGCGUACUCACCCUGGAGAGAAACCCUAUAAAUGUAAGGAAUGUGGGAAAAGCUUUAACCGCUCUUUCCACCUUAAAGUUCAUAUGCGAACUCACACUGGAGAGAAACCCUAUGCAUGUAAGGAAUGUGGAAAAGCCUUCACUGAUUCCUCAGGCCUUUUUUACCAUAUAAAAACUCAUACUGGAGAGUUGCCCUUUAAAUGUGACGCAUGUGGGAAAGCCUUUGCUUUUUCCUCACAUCAUAGCAGACAUUUUAGAACUCACACUGGACAGAAGUCUUUUGAGUGUAAUAUAUGUGGGAAAACAUUUGCUAGUUCUUCAUAUGUUAUUGUUCACAAGCGUAUUCACACUGGAGAGAAACCAUUUAAAUGUGAGAAAUGUGGAAAAGCCUUCACUCAGUCCUCAGGCCUUACUGUUCAUAUAAAAACCCACACAGGAGAGAAGCCUUUUAAGUGUGACACAUGUGGGAAAGCCUUUCCUACUGCUUCACACCUUACUACCCAUUUUAGAACUCACACUGGUGAGAAGCCUUUUGAAUGUAAUGUAUGUGGGAAAACAUUUAACAUUUCUUCGUCCUUUAUCAAUCACAAGCGUACUCAUAAUGGAGAGAAACCAUUUAAAUGUGAGGAAUGUGGAAAAGGCUUUAAACGUUUUGUGCACCUUAACAUUCACAUGCGAACCCACACUGGAGAGAAACCCUAUGAAUGUAAGGAGUGUGGCAAAGCCUUCACUCAGUCCUCAGGCCUUACUGAACAUAUAAAAACUCACACUAAAGAGAAGCCUUUCAAAUGUGACACAUGUGGAAAAACUUUUGCUCUUUCCUCACACCGUAACAGACAUCUUAGAACUCAUACAGGGCAGAAGUCUUUUCAGUGUAAUAUGUGUGGGAAGACAUUUACCAGUUCUUCAUAUAUUUUCAUUCACAAGCGUAUUCAUACUGGAGAGAAACCUUAUAAGUGUAAGGAAUGUGGGAAAGCCUUUAGUUUUUAUAAUUCUUUUCAGCGUCAUGAAAGAACUCACCUGGAGAGAAAUCUUGUCAAUGUAAGGAAUGUGGGAAAGCCGUCAGUAGUCCCAGUUCACUUCAAAGACAUGAUAGGACCAUACUACAGAGAUGCUCUACAAAUGUAAGGAAUGGGUGAAAGCCAUCAGAACCUCAUCACAACUCAGCAUGUGAGGACUCACAGUGAAGCCAUCCUGUUAAGAAUCAUGGGAAGCCCUUUCCUGUUUCCUCAUUGAAAUCUAUUUGUCACAUAUGAGAGAUCUUGUAGUGGAGAGAAAUCCAACUGAUGUAAGAUAUUUUGGAAAAUUGUUCUGCAAAUGUUCACUUGUGUCUCACUUUGGAGAAAAACUUUAUGAAUCUCAGAAGUGUCGAGUCAUCAUCAUUUUCCAUGAGAUUGUUUCUCAUACUUAAUAAACAUGGGGGUGGUUCAUGGUCAAGAGAAACUGAAAUAGGAAGUAUGGGAAAUGCUACCCUGUGUGUGAAUCUUAGCAUCUUCUUAGGUACGUAGUAUUCUGGGUACGUUCUAUGGAUAGACUCUUAGCAUUUUUACUUAGGCCUUGGCCAUUCCUACGUGUGAUGUGUGUUUUUUGCCACUGAUAGGCCAGUCUAGUUGCUAUACCUUCCAGGUUGCAACCUGGUCAAAAGUAGUUUGACAGGAUUUAUACUUAAUCCUCUUCUAACCACCUGGAUUCUCCUGUUGGAUUGACGUGGUCUGAGUAUUUGAAGAUAGUGACUGCUUGACUGUGUCCAGUGCUCUCUGUACUCAUUUACAGCAAGCCACUGUGCCCAAGGCAGUGGUUGAAAUACGUCUGUAAAUUUUGUAAAAUUACCUUGUCCCUCUUACACCCGAUCCUUUCAGAUAAAAAGUCAGUGUCAAGCAUGGAGUGAGUGUGAAAAAAGUGAGAUUACACCUACUGAUGUGAGCACUCCGAUUUCAUGACCUUUUUGGAUGAACAACAACCUUACCACCUGGGGAGGGCCUUUAACCUCAAGCCAUACAGGAUGAUGGUUCGUUACUCGAUGCGAAAGAAGGCCCAAUCACUAAAUUGACAGGCUUGUGGCAAGGAAAGAGGUUUAUUAUCAAAAGGCAGCCAGACCAGGAGACGGGAGUUAAAACUCAAAUCCACUUCCUCAAAGUGAAAAAGGUUAUGAUCAUUCCUCAAUCUUGGGGAAUGGGGUUGAAGACUGCUCUAGCUACUUCCUGCUGUGAAAGGGCAAAGAUCAGAGUCAGGUAUGAAACUGUUCCACCUUUAUUUUUAAAUAUUUUUGGGUACUAAGUUGGGGAGAGUGAGGUAUGCUUUACAUGACUAGAAUUUUAGUACUCUGAUGGUUUUGAAACAACACAAGUCCACAUUUUAUAAUUACAUAGACAACCACACAUAUUAGCAAAAUAGGAAGCUAAAAUUUUAAUAUCCCCUCCAUAAUGGACCUCAAUCUUUGGGAAAUCCAGGAGAAGAGGCCUGUAAACCAAUCAAGUUUGGGGCCUGGGACCUCAGGUGAAAUCUGAAGUAGCCAAGCAACCUGUUGUCUGAUAGUCCAAGUAAGGUCAGGACCUGAAAGUCACUCAUUACUUGUUAGGAGACUGUGUUCUGCACAGUAACUUGUGGUCUGUCGGGUUCAUUUGUCCAUUCAGAGAAGUCAGUGUCUAGAGUAUGAAGUCAGCCAAGGUUUAGGCGAUCCUGGUUGUGAUGUUUCUCUACAGUAUGGUUCCUGUUCCCUGUGGCAUUUCUCACAUGGUCCUAUCCAGUGGAGAUGAAGUUGAGGAUUUCAAUAGGACCCAGUCUCCAUGACAAAGAUGGUGCAGAGGAACAUGUGACUGUGUGUUGUUACUUAAUUUUAAUUCCAUCUGGGUCUUUUGGAUCAUCUCUAGAACAUAGGAAGUGUCUCCCAAAGUUAGGCUUAUACUGUGUAAGCUAGUGACCAGGUAUUUAAUAAGUAUUUCUAGAGGAACAAGAAGAAAAGCAAGGCUAAUAGUUGGAGCAAAUUAUAAACAAAUUCCUAAGCCCAGAGGGUGGCCAGUCCCCUCUAGAAAUCUAGAAAGAAGAUUUCUAGGUAGAGUGGCGUCAGCAGCAUAGCAGAGUGAGUUUUCCCGGGACUCUCCUCUCCAACAUACAACAGAAAGGGGCAACCAUACUCCAAUGGAAGAUAUCCUAACAGCACAAAAAACCUUGGAGAGACAUGCAGCCACAUGACAGAGGGUGGAGAGGCUGGAGCUCCCCUCAGAGGAGCUGGAAUUGGGGAAGAGAGAACUGUGCUCCCUCCCCAAAAGACUGUGGUUGCUGCCAUAGGAGGAUCCGUGAGGGAAGGAGCACGGGAGGGGUCACAGAUCCUCUGGAUCACCCAGUACUCCCACAGCCCUUAUAGCCUAGAGAGAAGCCCUCUAAUGGAGUGAAAGCUUUGCACGGGGUGACCUCAUCAAGCUAACACCCCAGGAGACCAGAUAGCAAGAGCUGAUUGAGAAAUCCCAGAUUGCACAUGGGAGAAAGUGCCCCUCCCCUGACUCGACCUGUCCUAUCUUGGCUGAAGGUGGAUGGCUCAGAAUAUGUGGCUCUCAACCCCGCCUCCCCGGUGGCAAUAGGCUGUAACUGCAACUGAAUAAUAUCAAAAUGAAAAACACCCGACCUUCCAUCAGACACUACAUCAAAUCUCCAGACCAGAGAGAAAACAAGCACCCGGAACUCAGUCCUGAGGACACAGAAAGAUGUAAGCUAAACGAUGAUGAAUUCAAAUUGGCUAUCAUCAAAAACUCUUAAGGAAAUGAGGAUAGAGGGAAAUUACCUCAACAUAAUAAAGGCAUAUAUGACAAACCCACAUGAAGUCACGAAAGAAUUCUCACUGGUGAGAAACUCUUUCAAUGUAAGGAAUGUGGGAAAGCCUUCAGUUGUCUCUGUUCAGUUCAAGGACAUGAAAGACCUCACGUGGAGAGAAGCUAUCAAUAUAACGAGUGUGGGAAAUCCCUUCAUUGUCCUUAUUUACUUUGAAGUCGUGAACAAACUCACGCCAGAGAGAAAACCUAUGAAUGUGGAAAUAUUGGCACUAAUACCUCAAUUUUUAAUUAACAUGUAAGAAUUUACAGUGAAGAGAAGCCUUAUGUCUGUAGAGAACGUGGGAAAGGCUUCCUAAAUCCUCAGGACUUAGCUCACACACCAGAAUUCACACUGGGGAGAUACCAUAUGAAUGUGUGCAGUGUGGGAAGGGCUUCACUCCUUCCUCAAGCCUUAAUGAACAUAUACGAAUACACAGUGGAGAGAAGCCAUGUUGAUGGUAGGAAUGUUACCAGACACAAAAACAGGCUUGUUUACCCACAUGCAGGAGGGCCAGUUACCCAAAACAUCAGGCUUGUGGCAAGGAAAGUGGCUUAUUAUAGAAAGGCAGUCAGACGAGGAGACAAGAGUUAAAACUCAAAUCCACCUACCUGAAGGUAAAAAGGUAGGGUUUUUAUCUGAGGUUUUACGUAGGGGAGGGGGAGCACAUGACCUUGCUGGUUGGUGCCUUCCCACCAGCCUGUGUUUGGCCUUGAAGACUGAAUCUCUUUCCCUUGACUGUCUGAACUUUUCUGGUUAGUUUUCAUCUUCAGCCUGCAUUUGGCCUUGUGAAGCUGAAUUGUGUCUGAACUGUAACUUCCUGGGAAAAGCAGCUCACUCAUAUACUAGGGAGGCACAGAGAGACCUGGCUAGUUUUAAACAACAGUUGAUUAUGCUGAGUAUGCACAGCUGCAGUUAGCAAAGCUCAUCUCAGUUUUCUUCUAGCCCAGGGAAGACUUUUCAACUCCUUUGUUUUCAAGUGCAGGAAUGUGGGAAAGCCUGGAGCUUAUAUUUGUCCUUUCUUAGUCAUUUAGGAACUCAUGCUAUAGAGAUAAUUUAUGAGUUAAAGCAAAAAACUUUUCUAAUUCUACAAGAUUUCAUGUGCACAUGCAAACUAACACAGGAUUGAAACCUAAGACUGUAUGGCAUGCCCUGAAUUUUGCAUCUCCAGAAUUCAUAUGUUAAAGCCCUAACCCACAAUACCUCAGAAUGAAUUCACAUUUAGACAUAAGGUUGUUAAAGAGGUGAUUGACUUAAAAUUAGCUCUUUCAUGUGGGGCUUUAAGUCAUUAUCAUCGGUAUCCUAAGAAGUGAAAGAGAUACCAGGGAUGCACGCACGUAGAGAGAGAACCAUGUGAAGACCCCAGAAGAUGGCCAUCUGCAAGCCAAGGAAAGAGGCCUGGAACAGACGCUUCAAUUAAACCCUCCACUGAAACCCAACCCUGUUGGCACCUUCAUUUUGGACUUCUGGCCUCCAGAAUUGUAGGAAAAUAAAUUACUUCUGUUUAAGGCAUCCAGUCUGUGGUAUUUUUUAUGGCAAUCGUACAAAACUAAUGCAGUAAAGCAUGUGAGGAAGACUUUUUAUAGUCUUCUAUGCUCCAUAGUCAAUCUGUAGCCACACUGGAGAGAAACCCUGUGAGUGUACAGAAUGUGGGAAAGCCUUCAUUCAGUCUUCAGCCCUUUCUAAACAUGUAAGAGUUGAUACUGGAGAGAAAGUCUGUCAUUGGAAGUCAUGUGUAAAAGCCUUUAAGUGUUCACCAGCCCUUGAUAGUCACAUCCACAUCACCUGGUGAAAGAUCCCAUGAAAAUAAAAGGAAAAAAGAAAGAAAAGAAUGAUUCUUUUACUAUGAAGAUAAAGUUAUGACUUUAUAGAACAUGUAGGACCUUAGAUUGGACUCACUGUAAGGCAUGUAGAAGAACUUUCAGUAAUAUUCCAUACCUUAUAGAAAGUGUAAAGACUGGCACUGGAGAGAAGCCUUUUGCUUGUAAGCCCUGUGGGAAAGCUUUCAUUCAUUCCACGAGUCUUCUUUUACACAUCUAUAAUUGCUGUAAAAGCCCUGGGAACAUAAAGAAUGUGCUACAACCCUUCAAUAUUUCAUGUCAUGUUCAAAUGAAAUUUCACAUUGGAAAAAGACCCCAUGUCUGUAUGCAGCACAGUCAACAUCUGCUUACUGCUCAUGCCUUAAUAUCCACAUGAGAAUUCACACUGUGUAAAAAUCCUGUGACUGUAAAGGGCACAGGAAGACUUUCACUUGCUCCUCCCAUCUUACCAUUUGGGAACUCACAGUUGUGAGAUGGUGUGAAAAUUUAAGGAGUGUGGGAAAGCCAUCCAAAUAUCCUCACAAACUAGCAUAGAAGUCACACUGAAGCCAUACCGUGUGGGAAAUGUGGAAAACCCUUCACUGUCUGUUCAUUUUUUACUGAAGAGGGGAGAUAUUGUAGUGGAGAAAAACCCUAAUAAUAUAAGAUAUGGAAAGUUGGAAUUCUGCUAAUACUUUAAUAUCCACUUGUAUUAUCACAGUGGAGAAAAACUUGAUGAAUGUCAGAAAUGCUUGAAAUUCAUUUUUUCCUUAUAUUAUCCCUUAUCCUUUAAUAAACAUGGUGUGAUUGACACUCUAAACAUGGGGUGACUCACCGGAGAAAUUGUGAAUGCAGGGAAUAUGGGAGAUGUUUACCUUAAUCCUGAAAUCUUAUAGGAUGCUGAGAGAAACAUUGCUUUCUGGAUGGUUCUAUAGAUCUAUUUUGAACAUAGUGAUUCUGUCCUAACCAUUUUUGGGCCCAAUCUGUCUUUCCCCUGAUAGGCAUGCCAAGACAGUCUAGUUGCUAUACUUUCCAGAUUGAAAACUGGCCAAAAGUGGGCCAACAGGAUUCACAAUCCUGUUUUAGCCACCUGAAUUCUCUGGUUGGAUUGACAUGGUCUUACAUUGUGAAGAGAGUGCUUGACUGAAUUCACUGCUCAUGGAGUGUAUCUACAGUGGCUCACACUGGUCAAGGUAGGGACAUAAUACAUCUCUACAAGUUUUCUAAGAAAAGUGGUUCUCCUUCUCUAACACCUUAUCCAUUCAGAUAAAAGGUCAGUGUGCAAGCAGAAGGUUAGUGGAUAAAAGGCGAGGUCAUACACCUGGAUUUCAUGGUCUUGAGGGAGAGCAGCAACCCCAGCACCUGAGGACAGAAUAGUUUUGAAUUCAGGCAAUGUAGCCAGUUGGUCAAAAAAAAAAAAACAAAAAAAACAAAACAAAACAAUCCAGCACCACAGUCUAGAAAAACAACUAUAUUGUCUGCAUGAGUCAAGCCACAGCUGAAGAUGGAAAUAUGACUGGCUGUUGAGUUUGUCAUUCCUUCCAUGUGGAAUAAAAAAAGAAAAACUUAAAAUGACUGGUCUUGAUAAUUUACUGGGCUUGAUGCCAUCACUGUCAGUUCCUGAUUGUGGUCCUUGACUAGAGACUCAGAGACCAGCACAUCCUUAUUUAAGCUUGUAUGAUACAAAUUCAUAUACUUAUGAUGCUCCAGCAGCCUUGUCUACAUCAUGAAUAGGCCACCAAGGAUGCAGCUGCUUGAUGACACUUUGCAUGGGGCUUAAGCAAACCUAUAUGUAAUGCUAGUCUACGUCAGUCUUAAAAAUAAACUCUGAGAAGGAAUG